AAAAAAAUAAAUACCGCCGACACUAUUUAAAGUAUCUAGUACUACUGACAUUUAAGUCCACAACACGGAAACAUUAUAUAAAUAUGAAUCUUGCAUUGUACGAUGAAUUGGAGACGCUACUUCACUAUAAACAUCCAUCUAAAUACAUUAUUCCGAUUCACGAAUCAACCAUUAAAUUAAUGUUCUUUCUUCUAAACACCCCCAUACCAACUGAACAUUUUAGGAAUUCAACAUUCGUCUUUGUAAAUUGUAAAUUAUUCAUAUACCAAUCAAAUUGUCAAAAAAAUCAUUCCAAUUGUUACCAGUAACAAUAAUUUGAGCUCACAACUCCAAGAUAAGCUUCGUAUUUUUAUUUCUGUUGUACUACAUGUAUACCAAUGUCAAGUUACCUUCAAAAGAUUUAGACCCCAAAGGCUGACUGCAGUUAUUGGCAUACUAUAUUUCUCCUGACAUGUAGCAAAACCCAGUGGCAGAUCCAGAACUUUUAUAAGGAUUACGGCACUCUGAUAGGCCUAAAUGGGGAGGGGGGAGACGCUCCAAUCAUGCUUCAGUAAUUCCCUAUAUAAUCAACCAAAUGUUUCCAACAAAAAGGGGACCCGGGUCCCCCAAUGUUCCCC
rnacentral:lncRNA from 1 species